UACGAAGGGGGCUAGCGUUGUUCGGAAUUACUGGGCGUAAAGCGCACGUAGGCGGAUACUUAAGUCAGGGGUGAAAUCCCGGGGCUCAACCCCGGAACUGCCUUUGAUACUGGGUAUCUCGAGUCCGGAAGAGGUGAGUGGAAUUCCGAGUGUAGAGGUGAAAUUCGUAGAUAUUCGGGGGAACACCAGUGGCGAAGGCGGCUCACUGGUCCGGUACUGACGCUGAGGUGCGAAAGCGUGGGGAGCAAACAGG
rnacentral:rRNA from 1 species